AGAGUUUGAUCCUGGCUCAGGACGAACGCUGGCGGCGUGCUUAACACAUGCAAGUCGAACGGAGAAUUUAUUUCGGUAAAUUCUUAGUGGCGAACGGGUGAGUAACGCGUAGGCAACCUGCCCUCCAGUUGGGGACAACAUUCCGAAAGGAAUGCUAAUACCGAAUGUGAUCCCUUUCCCGCAUGGAGAAGGGAUGAAAGAUGGCCUCUAUUUAUAAGCUAUCGCUGGAAGAUGGGCCUGCGUCUGAUUAGCUAGUUGGUGGGGUAACGGCUCACCAAGGCGAUGAUCAGUAGCCGGUCUGAGAGGAUGAACGGCCACAUUGGGACUGAGACACGGCCCAAACUCCUACGGGAGGCAGCAGUGGGGAAUAUUGCACAAUGGGGGAAACCCUGAUGCAGCGACGCCGCGUGAGUGAAGAAGUAUUUCGGUAUGUAAAGCUCUAUCAGCAGGGAAGAAAAUGACGGUACCUGACUAAGAAGCCCCGGCUAACUACGUGCCAGCAGCCGCGGUAAUACGUAGGUGGCAAGCGUUGUCCGGAAUUAUUGGGCGUAAAGAGCAUGUAGGCGGGCUUUUAAGUCCGACGUGAAAAUGCGGGGCUUAACCCCGUAUGGCGUUGGAUACUGGAAGUCUUGAGUGCAGGAGAGGAAAGGGGAAUUCCCAGUGUAGCGGUGAAAUGCGUAGAUAUUGGGAGGAACACCAGUGGCGAAGGCGCCUUUCUGGACUGUGUCUGACGCUGAGAUGCGAAAGCCAGGGUAGCAAACGGGAUUAGAUACCCCGGUAGUCCUGGCCGUAAACGAUGGGUACUAGGUGUAGGAGGUAUCGACCCCUUCUGUGCCGGAGUUAACGCAAUAAGUACCCCGCCUGGGGAGUACGACCGCAUGCGAUCGGACGGAACUCUGCGAUCAUAUCUGCACAUUCUUCUGCGGUUCCGACCGGAUAUUCCGGUAUGUAAGCGCCGACAUUACGCAGUUUUAAGUUGUAGCUUGCAUUUAACAUACCGCAGUAUGCAUCUCCACGUCCCUGAAUUAAGUUCUCCUGUGUCUCCUCUGCUGCUGCAACAAACAUCUUUGGUCCGUCAAAGUGCUUUGCAAGAAGAGUCUCUGAAAUCUCCGGUCCAAAGUUUCCAAGGUAAACACAAAGUG
rnacentral:rRNA from 1 species